UAGAUUCAUUUCAAGUUCUUUAUGUACAUCUAAGGCUCAUUUGGCUCGAUAUAGAUCAUAUUUGGCCAAAAAUGGCAUUUUCGAUCCCAAAUAUCAACAAAUGAACCUAAGGACACUUUCUAAAUAUUUUUCAUGAUUCAUAUGAUUAGUUAUAUGUUUAUAAGACUCAUUUUAAGUUUGUUAUGCACGACUAUGGGUCAUUUGGGUCGAUAUAGGUCAUUUAUGGCCAAAAAUGACAUUUUCGAUCCCAACUACCAACAAACAAACCUAUUUCCAUAUUCUAACGUUUUUCAUGAUUCAUAUGAUUAGUUAUAUAUGAUUAUAAGACUCAUUUCAAGUUUGUUAUGCACGCCUAUGGUUCAUUUGGGUCGUGAUAGGUCAUUUAUGGCCAAGAAUGGCAUUUUCGAUCCCAACUAUCAACAAACUAACCUAAGGAAACUUUAUAAAUAUUUUUCAUGAUUCAUAUGAUUAAUUAUAUGUUUAUAAGACUCAUUUCAAGUUCGUUAUGUA